ensembl:lncRNA
CGCUCUCGGUUUUGGCGACAGCCUUAAUUGGCUAACUGAUCAUAAGGAGUUUGGGUUCACAACCUAAAGGGCAUCUUUAGCUGGCGCCACAACAAAAGCCUCGGUGUCAUCGGCCCACAUCUCUUUUAACUAUUUUUAUUUUUUUUACUAAGGAAAACGAGCAUCAUUGUUUUGCCUCACUUAAAAUAGAACUCAAAUGUACUCAGCCAGUUGGAAGGAAGAAUUCAGCCCACACCACCUCCAUCUCGGAACCAUUCAGAAUCUUGUUCUGAUUUGGAUUUCUACUCAAUCUCCUGGUCUGGAUGUUCACUCUGUACCGGUUUGGCUCAUCGAAUCCCACCGCCUUUGUUGGAUGAUUCAGAAGCUGAGACCGACACAUCAACACGCACGCGCACAGUGUGAGAAUUCAGAUUCAGCCCUCGUUAUGCCUGCAUGAAUAAGUAAAACUGGAUCAGUGGCCGUGGGACGACUGGCUUUGGAUCACAGGGGGCCAACUACAUAAUGGGACCAUUUGAAUGUGGCGUUGAGAGACCACUUGGAGGACACCCUGUGGACCCACACGCCAUCCUGUGACAGUCUGAACUGAGGUUCUGAAGAAUGCCCCAUGGCUGUGUGUCGGUUAGGGUUGAUUUGAUGAUAAAGGUUUUCGUCAUUUGAACUUGUGAUUGUAUUGAUUUGAGUCCCUGGCCUGUGUAAUGAGUCUCACUGUUGAUUGCAGUCGCCACCCUGUCCAUCGAUCGCUCCCUUUCUCUUCCUCACUGUUCUUCCC